GAGGGAGGGCGAACGGAGGGGAACGGAAGAGGCUGGCUUUUUUGCCUUUUCUGGUGGAGCUGCAGCUGGAGAGAAAGGCUGAGCCAGAGGAGCUCUUUGUGUUGGAGUGGUGCUGAGACAGAAAGCAUAGUGCAGAGGGAAAGAAAAGGAAUGGUGUGAGAGCAAAGCAAACCGGACCGCUCCAAGGCUUUUUCGUCGCUAUUGCUAAGGGCCGCACCUCUAGGACUGAACCAUGGAUGACGACUUUGAGCGGCGCAGGGAGCUGAGGAGGCAGAAGCGAGAGGAGAUGCGGCUGGAAGCAGAGAGGAUGGCCUAUCGGCGGAAUGAAGAGGAUGAGGAGGAGGCAGCUCGUGAACGCAGACGAAGAGCGCGUCAGGAGCGUAUGCGCAGCAAAGAGAGCGAGGAUGCACCAAACCCGCCCGAGAGUGUGGAGCUAAACAACAGCCACAGUGUGACUGUCACGGAGACAGUGUCCAGCUCAGUGGUCAGCUCAAGCCAGGCUGGUGAAGGAGACGAUGAGGAGCAGGCCCUGCUGGAGCGUCUGGCCAAGCGGGAAGAGCGCAGGCAGAAGAGGAUGAAAGAGGCGCUAGACAGACAGAAGGAGCUGGAGUCCACUGACUCCUCCCACUACAGCAUUGAGGAGCACUCCAGCACCCGCCACACCCUCCACCACGGCCUGGAGGAGGAGCCAGCACUCAACAGCAAGGAGCAGGAGAAAGAGAAGGCGAAGGAGGAGGAGGAGGAGGAGGAGGAGGCUGCACAAGAGGAGGAGGAAGAGCAGAAAGAAGAGGAGGUGGUGGAGGAGAAGCCACGGAGGUCUUACCUGAGGGAGCAGGAAUCCACUGAGGAAAAACCUAAAAUAGAAGAUGAGGGCAGUACUGAGCAGGACGCUGUAAGUGAAAAGUUUGAGACUUUAAAUGAAGACACAACUGAUUCCACAGUCAUUUCAAAGCAAGAAGUGGAGGAGGACACUGCAAAAGUCAUAGAGGAUGUAGAGGAAACAGAGGAGAAUGAGUUAGAGGCGCUUACGCAGAACGCAGCUGAUGAAAUGCAGACAGCUGACUCUGAGAAACCAGAGAGAGAGUUUGCAAACAAUGAUUUAGGUUUGAUGGAGGAUGAAGAUGUGGGAAGGAAGAGCAAGCAGCAGAACGGAGGGGUGUAUGAAGACAGCAAGCACAAGAAGGUGGAGAGAACCCAGAGCCGUGGCAGCUUGCGCUCUCCCGAAGUUCCAGCAGCGGAGGAUCUGGACGGUGAGGGAGCGCGUCUGGAGGCCGAGAGGAAGCUUGAGGAGCUGAAGAGGAGGAGAGACGAGACAGAGAGUGAGGAGUUUGAGAGGAUGAGGCAGAAGCAGCAGGAAGCUGAGGCUGAGCUGGAGGAGCUGAAGAGGAAGAGGGAGGAAAGGAGGAAGAUACUGGAGGAAGAGGAGAAGCAGAAGAAGCAAGAGGAGGCUGAGAGGAAGGCUAGAGAGGAGGAGGAGAAGAGGAGGAUGAAGGAGGAGAUAGAGAGGAGGAGAGCAGAGGCGGCAGAGCGGAGGCACAAGGUUGAGGAGGGCGUGGAUGGAGACACCAGGAAGCCCUUUGUGUGUGUGAGCCCCAGAGGAUCCUCCCUGAAGAUUGGUGAAAGGGCAGAAUUUCUCAACAAGUCAGCACAGAAGAGUGCUGUCAAGACAUCUCACUCUCCCGUGGUGUCAAAGAUCGAUAAUCGAUUGGAGCAGUACACCAGUGCUGUGCAGACUAAUAAGGAUGCACGUUCGCCGCGGUCAGCUGCCAUAGACCUGCCCACGGUUUCUGAUGGCAUUCGGAACAUUAAAAGUAUGUGGGAGAAGGGCAAUGUCUUCAGCUCCGGCACCAGCACACCUUCCAGCAACAAGGAUGCAGCUGGGAUAAAGGUGGGCGUGGCUGGCCGCAUCAACGAUUGGCUGAAUAAAACUCCGGAGACAGGCAAAACAUCGGGAGGGAGACCUGCGGACCUGAAACCUGGCGAUGUGACCAGCAAACGCAGUCUAUGGGAAAACAAAGGCUCCUCUGCUACCAAGCCCUCUCCCUGCUAGUUGUCUUCAGAUUUGGGCUCCAUGAGGAGGUGACAAGCAGAGGAGAGACCAAAUCUGUUGCCAAUGGAACGGGCCACUAACUUUUAAAGAAGCCACAGCACCAGGGACCAAGAGAAAGCACCGUCUUCCUGUUUUUUUUUAUGUGCAUUUACUCAUACCAAAAAUAAUCUUCUGCAUUUCUCACUGCCCAGACAUCUCAGAAAAGAGAGAAAAAGAAACAACAGGGUUUUAUUUUUACCACUGCAUGUUGCAUAGUUCUAAUUACAGCAUAGCGCUUAGCAUAAAGCCUUUUUUUAUACUAGAAACUAGUCUGCAGUGUGGGCAUUUAGAAAGACCUGCAUACGGAGAAAACAGUUAUCAAAAGACCCAAAGUUGUUUUUUAAGAUAAGAAUAGAUUAAAUAGAGCAACCUAUUUAAAUGGCCCCUGUUAUUUCAUGUCAUGUUAAACGGUUUUUUUUUUUUGGUUUUGUUUUUCUUUAAAAUUCUUCUCUGCUAGUCACCCUUCACACUUUUUAAUUUAUAAUUAAAGCAAAGCUUCACGUAUUGGUAUUUUAUUCAUGUUCACCAGUCCAGGGCAGAAUAUGAGCACCCAUAGAGUAGAGUAUUUUUUACGUUUGUCAUAAUGACACAUUUUUAAUAGUGAAACUAUGGUCUUAAUAAUAUAUGUUAGCACAUAGUGUAUGUUUUUUGUAAUUAACUAUAUAUUUUAUAUGUUGCCGCUUUAUACGAGAUGAUGUCCUUGCUUUUGCUCUCAAUAUCAUAUGUUCAAUCAAGUUUAAACUCAUUAUAGACAUUCCAUGAUUAUUAUUCCAUUUUUUUCUCAUUCACUGAUGUUUCGAGCGCUUUUUCAAUCAGUGUAGUCAUGAUAUUAUCUGAUUUCUAAUGGACGUAAAGGCUUCGCUCUGCACUGAAUAAAGGGAACAUACACUUCUUGACCAAAAUGAAAAACUGAAAAAAAAAGACCUGUGGCUUUCACAAGCAUUUCUUUGCAUUUAAUGCUUAUUCUAUUACAAACCUUCAGUUGCCAUUAUCGUUAUCAAAAAGCAAUUAUGCUCAAUAUGUUAGAGGACAGGAGGGUGGCUUAGAGCCAUUACUGAGGACCAAUGUUGUUUCUGUUGUCUGCUUGUUUUGUUUUUAUGUUUACUCAGCACCAACUCAUUUAGACUAUAACACUAUUCGACUUUGGCAACUACACAGUGGGACAGGCUGGCGGGCUGGUAGUCAGUGGCCUGUUGGAUCAGCAGUUUUCACAAGUCAUGUGACCGACAGCCAGUGUAUUUCUGGCUUUUUUGGAAGAAAACCAGUAUGUUCUCCCCAGAUCAGUAAUGUGAUGAUGAUGUGUUUUAAAAUGUGAACAGUUCUGUGUUCUGGUCUUAAUUUUGACAAUCAUUGACACAAUGUGGAUAAGUUAUCUAUCGCAACUGGUAUUUUUCCAUGUUGAAUUAUUGACUCAUAAACAAUUCUGUUUAGAAUCGGGGUAACUCUAUGCAAACCACACCUAUAAUUCCAUUACCUUGUCAAAACUUUGACCAUGUUUAUUGUAGCCUGUAGUGUCAUAUGGAACAACUUUUUACAUGUUAUAGCAUUGACUCCACAACUGCAAUAAAGAGAUCAAUGUAAAAAAA